CCUACGGGAGGCAGCAGUGGGGAAUAUUGGACAAUGGGGGGAACCCUGAUCCAGCCAUGCCGCGUGUGUGAAGAAGGCCCUCGGGUUGUAAAGCACUUUCAGUGAGGAAGAACGCCUGGUGGUUAAUACCCAUCAGGAAAGACAUCACUCACAGAAGAAGCACCGGCUAACUCCGUGCCAGCAGCCGCGGUAAUACGGAGGGUGCGAGCGUUAAUCGGAAUUACUGGGCGUAAAGCGCGCGUAGGUGGCUUGAUAAGCCGGUUGUGAAAGCCCCGGGCUCAACCUGGGAACGGCAUCCGGAACUGUCAAGCUAGAGUGAAGGAGAGGAAGGUAGAAUUCCCGGUGUAGCGGUGAAAUGCGUAGAGAUCGGGAGGAAUACCAGUGGCGAAGGCGGCCUUCUGGACUGACACUGACACUGAGGUGCGAAAGCGUGGGUAGCAAACAGGAUUAGAUACCCGUGUAGUC
rnacentral:rRNA from 1 species